UGCGUAGGGUGCGAGCGUUGUCCGGAAUUACUGGGCGUAAAGAGCUUGUAGGCGGUCUGUCACGUCGAUUGUGAAAACUUGCAGCUCAACUGCAAGCUUGCAGUCGAUACGGGCAGACUAGAGUACUUCAGGGGAGACUGGAAUUCCUGGUGUAGCGGUGAAAUGCGCAGAUAUCAGGAAGAACACCCGUGGCGAAGGCGGCUCUCUGGGACGGUACUGACGCUGAGACGCGAAAGCGUGGGGAGCGAACAGG
rnacentral:rRNA from 1 species